rnacentral:rRNA from 1 species
AGCGAACGCUGGCGGCAGGCCUAACACAUGCAAGUCGAGCGCCGUAGCAAUACGGAGCGGCAGACGGGAGAGUAACACGUGGGAACGUACCCUUCAGUACGGAACAACCAAGGGAAACUUUGGCUAAUACCGUAUACGUCCGUAAGGAGAAAGAUUUAUCGCUGAAGGAUCGGCCCGCGUCUGAUUAGCUUGUUGGUGAGGUAACGGCUCACCAAGGCGACGAUCAGUAGCUGGUCUGAGAGGAUGAUCAGCCUCACUGGGACUGAGACACGGCCCAGACUCCUACGGGAGGCAGCAGUGGGGAAUAUUGGACAAUGGGCGCAAGCCUGAUCCAGCCAUGCCGCGUGGGUGAUGAAGGCCCUAGGGUUGUAAAGCCCUUUCGGCGGGGAAGAUAAUGACGGUACCCGCAGAAGAAGCCCCGGCUAACUUCGUGCCAGCCGCCGCCGUAAAAC